AACGUUGUCAACGUGUCAUGUUUUCUGAAUCUCCCUGUGUUUCUUAAACUUUUUUUACGGGAGACACUUAAAUACAAAGUACUUGUUUAACUUUGACAACAAUUGAAAUAUGAGAGAAAAAUUAAACUGUUAUUAAAGUCACAUUUUUCAUAACAAAAACAUUAAAAUCAUGCAUUCGGCAGUAGACUUUAAUUAAGUCACAGAUAUGUUAAUUAGAGGAUUUUGUUUCCUGCUUUUCCUUUGCAAUACUCUCAGCUUUUCCGGUUUCAGGUUCAAGAAGUACUCAUUUCCGGUAUAAAGUAGCUAUCAUUUCCGGUUUCAGGUAAGAAUAAACUCCAGUAUAAUAGCUUAUUCAGGGCUGGGCAAACUUUUGUUAGAAAACGGUUUUUGAAAAUUAACAAACGAAAAAAACAUGAAGGGUUUGUGUCUGUUGCGACAAUUCAACUAGGCCUUGACGAACAAAAGUACGUUCCCAUCCCUACAAGCGUAUCCAUCCCAUGAAAACGUAUCCAUCCUGUACUAACGUAUCCAUCCCAUACGAAUGUAUCCCAUCCCAUACUAACAUAUCCAUCCCAUAUAUACUAACAUAUCCAUCCUGUACUCAUGUAUCCAUCCUGUACUAACGUACCCAUCCCGUACUAAUGUA